rnacentral:lncRNA from 1 species
UUUCUUUCUUUCUUUCUUUCUUUCUUUCUUUCUUUCUUUCUUUCUUUCUUUCUCUCUUUCUCUCUCUCUUUCUCUCUUUCUCUCUUUCUUUCUUUUUUUGCCUUUUAAGGCCGAACCCGUGACAUAUGGAGGUUCCCAAGCUAGGGGUUGAAUCGGAGCUAUAGCCACCAGCCUACGCCACAGUCACAGCAAUGCCAGAUCCAAGCCGUGUCUGCAACCUACACCACAGCUCACUGCAACACUGGAUCCUUAACCCACAGAGUGAGGCCAGGGAUCGAACUCACGUCCUCAUGGAUGCUAGUCAGGUUCAUUAACUGCUGAGCCAUGACGGGAACUCCAUGGCUGUGGAUUUCUUGCAGAGAACAACCUGGCACCAGUGUCUGUGGUGCUGAGGGGGGAGCCCUGGUCUAAGCUCUGCAGAGAUGCACGCACAUUGUAUGUUAGGGUGAUCAGCUCAGAGGGAGGGGCAGGUGCCUUGCAGGGUCCUCAGCAGCUGGGGUGGGAUGGUCUCCUGGUCUUGCCCCUGGCCCCAAGCAGGGUCACACAGAGAGGGGACCUGUGAAGGGCCACUCCCACCACACUGGCAUUGGGACUUUACUACAAAGGAGACAAAAUCUCUUACAGCCCCCCAGAAGCCAGGAGCCGAGCUACCCCCUACCCCCAGCCAGGGCUGGCUCUGGGCUCCCAGCUCUGGGCCUGAGCUUCUCCAGGGUCAAGGUCACCCUGGCCUGGCAUGGAGAGGGCUGGCCAUGUAAGGGCCUUCUGUGACCUUGUGCAUCGUGACCUUUGGUGGGAUGCGGGGGCUGUGAAAGACCAGUUGGGUCUUUGCCAGGCAGACGUUUCCCAACAGAAGGCGCGUACCCCCUAGAGACCAGCGUCUUGUGACUCCCUGUCAGCUGGUCCUUUUGUACACGGGCUAAAUUGGGUCCCCGGGCAGCUAUAUUUAGAAAAGGCUAGGAAAAAAAAAAAAAAAAAGAAUGAAUGAGAUGCCCACAAGCGAGGGGAAAACAGAGCUGCAGGGCAAGUGGCCGCCCUCGACUGAAGCCCGGAGGCGGGAGGACAAUGAGCCGCGGUGACAGAGGGUGACAGUGCAGCUGAUGCAGGAGCAGAAGAAAGGGCCCUCUCUGUCCACCCAGAGGAUGACUGUAGUCAUGUGAGGGUGUGCAAGCUGGGAACCAGGCCGGGCCAGUGCGCUGAGUGCCCGUGGAUCAGGUCACCCCUGUUCUCAGCUUCCCGGCACCAAGGAAAUGCCGUCACCCUGGCCCCGUGAGGGUGUAGCUCAGAGCCAAAGGGCAGGAGGCUGUGAGAGAGGGAGGGCAGGUCCAGGCCUUCCCACCUGGGCCUGGACAAACUCCUACACAUCCUGCAAAACCCUGUGAAGUGUCACCCCCUCUGAGAAGCUCCUGGUCCACUGUCUGUGCACAGGCCGCAUCAGAAUCCUUCCUUGGGGUAUCCCACAGCUCCCCGGACCUUCCUUGGGCUGCAUUUCCUGUGGCCACCAAUUCCCACAAAUCUGGUGGCUCAAAACCACACAUUGAUUAUUUCACAGCCCUGAGGACAGGAGUCUGACUCCGGCCUCAUGGGGCUAAACCCAGGUGUGGGCAGGGCCGAUCUCUCUGGAGACUCCAAGGAAGAGUUGGUUUCUGCCUCUUUCAGCUUCUAGAGGUGCUGCAUCCCUUCUUCCAUCCUCACAGCCAGCAGCGCAGCAUCUCCUGUCUCUCUCUGCCUCUGAUCCUCCUGCCUCCCUCUUAUGAGGACCUUGUGACGACACUGGGCCCCGGGGGAAUCCAGGAUCACCCCCAUCUCAGAGGCCUUCACUUAACCCCCUCUGAAGAGUCCCUCUGCCACAUGAGGUCACACGUCCACAGCACCUGGAAGUAGAGAAUGUGGGCAUCUUUGGGGGCUGCAGCUGGAAGCUGAGCACCAAGGGACCAUCUGGAUGGGAGGGUUUGGUUACAGCAGUUCAGGGCGUUUACAAAGGAGGCUCCUUCCAGGAAUUCACUCUGUCCCCAGGAUGAAUCGCUUUCCAAGGAUAGGCCUCCCAGGGGCAGAGGACCUGGCCACACUUGAAGUCCAUGGUGGAUGCCACUGGUAGGCAUGUGCCUGGGAUGGCGCACUCUGCAGAUCAGGUGCAGUGCUGCUGAGGACGGACCUCGGGCCUGGGUCACAGGCUCUAGCUUCUUGCUCUGAGCUCUGGGUCACUGGCCAAGAUGGCAGCACCAGUGUGACCAGUGGUUCCUGAGCAUUGCUGUUCCACCUUCAUGUUGUUAAAAAGAGCUGGAACCAAACAGACCCAGAGAGGCUCUCCCCAGGGGCUAGCUAGAGUAGGGACAUUUUUCAUGUUAAAAAAAGAGGGCCAACAGUAUAAUUACUUGAACAACUUUAGAGAGCUGCCUGGUGUGGGGAGCCAGACUCUAGAGCAGAGGGGGCACUGGUGAAAUCUAGGGACAUCUGUGGUCUUCCCAGCAGGGGGAGGCUCCUGGCAUGGAGGGGGUGGGGCUAAGGGUGCUGCCCGAUACCCUGCAGUGCCCAGGAUGGCCCCCCACAGAGGACGGCUGGGCUGUGUCAGUGGUUUGGGGCGGGGAGGGGGGACCCCCGCCCAGGGUCCUCUUUCCUGUGAAAUGUAUACAUUGUUUUGGCUCCAUCAGUUUCAAGGGAGAAGCCCGGGUGAGCCAAGGCCACUGCUGUGGCUCCUGGGGCACCUGCUGUAGGCUCAGGCCACGCAUAUUAGUGUUAAAACUCCUGAGGGGCCCCAGAUGCUCACCAGGUGUGGACACAGGGGUUUGCGGUCAAAGCUCAGGAUGUCCUGCGCUGCAGCAAAGCAUCAAAAUUUCUGGAUGGAAACCUGGCUUGGCGCUGACCUUUGUGUGUCCUGGCUGGAAGCCUGACCUUCAAGCCCAGCACCGAGGGGUGGGAGAUGGAGGGGGGCAGAGAAGCAGCAGUCUUGUCUGAGAUGCAGGUUUUAGCCUCAACAAAAGUGCUGCUGGGCUGCAUCCUCAUAGGACAUGGAAGGGGAGCACGUGUGGAACUGUGGUGUCUCCUGUGGAAUCUUCCAGAGGCCAACUGCAGAACUACUGCUCCUGGUGAUCCAGGGUGCCCUGAGCCCCCUGAUUGGUUGGGAAGGAGGGAUGUCAGGGCCCGGGUUCUUGAGGGGGUGCAGAAAGCCCCCGGCCAGAGUGAGUUAAUCUUGGCUUCCAGCGGCCUCUGCCCCAAGAUGAGGUUUCGCUGACCCGCCCGGAAUGUCUAACAAUGAGACUGAGUGUCUGGUUCAGCUCACGCUGACAUCUCCUUUCUCGUCCAUCCAAAUUCCAUUACGCCUUUUCUUGUUAAUGCAGAAACGCAGCCAAGCCCGGCUGCCCGGGAAGCACCAAGGUCUCCUGCUGCUCUCGCCAGAAAGGGGAGCCAUGGCUGGGGGGCUGGGUGCCUGGCUCUCAGGGUCCCUGAAGGACUUAGGAGAGGUGGCUUGGGCUGGCACCGCACAUUAGGAAGUCUCUAAUGCAUGGGCCCUGUGGGGUCCUCACAGGACUCUGCGUUCUCAGAGAGCCAGGCAGAGCUGCCAGACCUCUGCCCCUGCCCUGGAGCCCCUCCUUGCUGGCCGGAUGAAGCCCACAUGCAAGGAGCAGUAGGUGACCUGUAGCAGCUGCUGGCAGCCUCCAGCUGAAAGGCAGCAGGCACCCAGGACCCAGUGCCUAAGGUAACAGCCUCGAGGUAACAAAUUCUGCCUAUACCUCAGGGACCCUGGAGCAGAGUCUCCCCCAGGUGAGCUUCUGGGCAAGAACAUGGCCUGGUGGCCUGGUGGGACAUGGAGCAGAGGACACAGUUAGGCUGUGCCUGGACCACUGACUCGCUGUGAGAUGAUGAGUGGGUGGAGCUUGGGAUAGUUUGUUAUGCAGCAUCACUAACUAAUACAGCAGAGGGGCAUGACCUGCAGAGAGGACCCAAGCCUGCAGGAGAUGGACGGGGAUGUGGCCUGAUAGGGCCUGCCAGGACGCUCCCUCAUUCUUCCCACCAGUGUCAUGUCACUUGGGCCUGCCACUCCUGAAUUAAGUUAUGCGACUGUAAAAAGAGUAUUAAUAGAAAAUACAACACUGAUGUAAAAGACAUAAUAACAUCUCCCUCCUGACUCCAAAGUCUUUGACUAGAAUGACUGCUCUAGGAAGGUACAGUGUAUGUCCUGCUUGGAGAAGCCAGUCCCAAGCCACGCAGCUGGGGAAUGACAGGGCCAGGAGGCAGCCAGCUGUGGCUCCCCAGUCAUGUCAGGGAAGGGGCUACAUCAGGGAAAGAGAUUUGCUGAUCUAUCAAUUCCAAGCCAAAGAGCCUUUUUUUUUUUUU